CAGGUGGUCUCCUCAUGAGCUUCUCAAGGUUAUCAAACUCUGAUCUUCUAUUGAAGAGCAACAUCUUCCAUUUGUUGGGAGCUUUAGUUCUGCUGUCUUCCUUACUAUAGUGUUCUGUAAAGAGCUUGAAGAUACUGUGUAUCCCUGGAAGCAGAAUCCAGACCUGACCCAAAGGCUGCAUUGUAAUCUCUUGGCUGCUCUUCCCUUGUCUCUACAUCCCUUCCCUUCCCUGAUUAGCAACUGUUUGAAAGACUUCCACGGCCAGGAGCCCUAUGGGGUCCUGUUGGAUUUCACCAAUCCACCAAAGGAAGAAAUAAAGGUGCUUGUCUAUGAAAUGUUC